GAUGAACGCUGGCGGCGUGCUUAACACAUGCAAGUCGAACGAAGCACUCUAGUUGAUUUUUUUCGGAAAUGAAGAUUUUGCGACUGAGUGGCGGACGGGUGAGUAAGGCGGGGGUAACCUGCCUCAUACAGGGGGAUAACAGCUGGAAACGACUGCUAAUACCGCAUAAGCGCACAGUACUGCAUGGUACAGUGGGAAAAACUCCGGUGGUAUGAGAUGGACCCGAGUCUGAUUAGCUAGUUGGUGGGGUAACGGCCUACCAAGGCGACGAUCAGUAGCCGACCUGAGAGGGUGACCGGCCACAUUGGGACUGAGACACGGCCCAAACUACUACGGGAAGCAGCAGUGGGGAAUAUUGCACAAUGGGGGAAACCCUGCUGCAGCGACGCCGCGUGAACGAAGAAGUAUUUCGGUAUGUAAAGUUCUAUCAGCAGGGAAGAUAAUGACGGUACCUGACUAAGAAGCACCGGCUAAAUACGUGCCAGCAGCCGCCGUAA
rnacentral:rRNA from 1 species